rnacentral:lncRNA from 1 species
GCAGGUGGAGUGUGAGCUCUGGACGGGGCAGGUGGAGUGUGAGCUCUGGGCAGGUGGAGUGUGAGCUCUGGACGGGGCGGGUGGAGGGAGUGUGAGCUCUGGAUGGGCAGGUGGAUGGAGUGUGAGCUCUGGGCAGGUGGAGUGUGAGCUCUGGACGGGGCAGGUGGAGGGAGUGUGAGCUCUGGACGGGGCGGGUGGAGGGAGUGUGAGCUCUGGACGGGGCGGGUGGAGGGAGUGUGAGCUCUGGACGGGGCGGGUGGAGGGAGUGUGAGCUCUGGACGGGGCGGGUGGAGGGAGUGUGAGCUCUGGAUGGGCAGGUGGAGGGAGUGUGAGCUCUGGAUGGGCAGGUGGAGAGAGUGUGAGCUCUGGAUGGGCAGGUGGAGGGAGUGUGAGCCCUGGACGGGGCAGGUG